UUCAAGUUGGAUCAAAUGGCACACGGUGUGCAAAUUUGAUUAAAAUCGGUUAAGUAGCUUAGGAGUCCAUCGCGGGCAAACAACGUGACGCAUAAUUUAUAUAUAAUUAGCUAUUAAGAUU